rnacentral:rRNA from 1 species
UACGGGGGGGGCAAGCGUUGUUCGGAAUUACUGGGCGUAAAGGGCUCGUAGGCGGCCAACUAAGUCGGACGUGAAAUCCCUCGGCUCAACCGGGGAACUGCGUCCGAUACUGGAUGGCUUGAAUCCGGGAGAGGGAUGCGGAAUUCCAGGUGUAGCGGUGAAAUGCGUAGAUAUCAGGAGGAACACCGGUGGCGAAGGCGGAUCUCUGGGCCAUUACUGACGCUGAGGAGCGAAAGCGUGGGGAGCGAACAGG